AUCGCUUCUCGGCCUUUUGGCUAAGAUCAAGUGUAGUAUCUGUGAUUCUGUGAUUCUGUGAUAUCCUAGAUUACAAAUGCAUAAUUUCAUAGCAAUUACGUAUAUUACAUAAUACAAAUCACUUGUACGUCAAGUAAAGAAAGCUAUUCCUGUUAUCAAGUGCAGAAAUCUGAUUCAAUUUUU
rfam:Columba livia unplaced genomic scaffold scaffold471, whole genome shotgun sequence.